rnacentral:misc_RNA from 1 species
GAUGAAGGAACGUAGCGAAAUGCGAUAAGUAGUGUGAAUUGCAGAAUUCAGUGAAUCAUCGAAUCUUUGAACGCACAUUGCGCCCCUUGGUAUUCCAUGGGGCAUGCCUGUUCGAGCGUCAUUUGUACCUUCAAGCUUUGCUUGGUGUUGGGUGUUUGUCUCGCCUUUGCGUGUAGACUCGCCUUAAAAUAAUUGGCAGCCGGCGUAUUGAUUUCGGAGCGCAGUACAUCUCGCGCUUUGCACUCAUAACGACAGCGUCCAAAAGUACAUUUUACACUCUUGACCUCGGAUCAGGUAGGGAUACCCGCUGAACUUAAGCAUAUCAAUAAGCGGAGGA